rnacentral:misc_RNA from 1 species
GUUCAAAACUUGGCGCUACUACACGCUUUAGCUUAAACAAUUACAUAACCAUUAAGAAAACAAAGCAGUAGCUACACUUUAAAAAAGAACAAAAUAAAAGAGAAUAUCAGAGGCAUAUACAAAAAGAUUCCUUAUUCUACAUUCGCUCAUCCAUCAAACAGUCACAAAAGAAAUAAAUAAAUUAAAAAACACAGUCACAAGUGUUUACAAAGAGAACGAGAUAGCUAGAGAGAAGAGGAACGGUACGUUUUCCACCGCCCAAGACUCUGUGGACGGGUUUCUCUCUUCCAAAGAGAAGAAAUAUCUUCGUUUUGACGGCAUCGAACUUGUCAUCAUCGGAAUCAGAGGAAGAGGAAGAAGAAUCGUGACCGUGGAUCUUCUCGGCAAUCCUGUCCAUCAGCGAUUCAAAGGCUGAUUCGGGCUCUGCUGCAUGGUCCGCCAUAUAUAUUCGCCGCGAAAAAAGAAGAGAAAUUUGUGUGCCUAUUGGAUAGAGAAAGCUUUGCUGCGAGUGCCGAGCAAUGCGAGGGGAAUUCAAUUUUCAUGUUUUCUACUAUACGAGGCUUUGACGAAGAGAGAGCACGAAUGGCAAUGGUACCUCAGCGAAAUGAAAUCUGAGCCGUUGAGAGCUUUACUGCUUG